rnacentral:rRNA from 1 species
AGUGACGCUGGCGGCGUGCUUAACACAUGCAAGUCGAACGAGAACGGAUUAUAGCUUGCUAUAAUUGUCAGCUAAGUGGCGCACGGGUGAGUAAUAUAUAGGUAACAUGCCCUAGAGAGGGGGAUAACAGAUGGAAACGUCUGCUAACACCCCAUAUGCCUUUAAGACCUAAGUCUGCAAGGGAAACAUUUAUGGCUCUAGGAUUGGCCUGUACGGUAUCAGUUAGUUGGUGAGGUAAUGGCUCACCAAGACAAUGACACCUAACUGGUUUGAGAGGAUGAUCAGUCACACUGGAACUGAGACACGGUCCAGACUCCUACGGGAGGCAGCAGUGGGGAAUAUUGCACAAUGGACGAAAGUCUGAUGCAGCAACGCCGCGUGGAGGAUGACACAUUUCGGUGCGUAAACUCCUUUUAUAUAGGAAGAUAAUGACGGUACUAUAUGAAUAAGCACCGGCUAACUCCGUGCCAGCAGCCGCGGUAAUAC